AUCCAGAUUGUUUUAAGUUAGAGAUAUUCAGAUUGAACUAUACAAUACUCUCUGUGGAUUCAUUUCUUCACACAGAUUUUUUUUUCCAGGUGAAAGGAAGAUUCAGGACUAUUUUCUUAUAGCUGAAACCUGACUAUUGUUUCUGUCAAUGAAAUGUUACCACUGUCUGCUCCUUUACUGAGUGUGGGAGUUGACUUACUUAAGCUUCAGGGCAUAUGGAGCCAGCAGGAUUCCCAGAAGAACCCUUACAGCUCCUGGGAACUCUGAACAGAUUGUGCUCAAUUUGGAGGAGUCCAUCAUAACUUUCAAUGGAAGUGUUCAGGGCUGCAAUUGCUCCUGACUGCUGUUGCUUGAGAAGAGACCCAGGCCCCAUCCAGGAACUGAGAUAGCCACUUGGCUGUAUGCCUACGGAUAUUAAACCCUGGAGGAUGGGACUAGGCUUUGCUUGGGGUCUCAUUCGGCCUGGCCCCUUCCUCACGCUCCGACUCUGUUCCCACUGGGCAAAGCCACAGCACUAUUCACUUUUUUCCUUAUCGGAAUGUCCUGUGACUUCAGAUUCUGAAAUGGCUGAAAACCGUCAAGAACUUCUAUUUUAUUUGAUUGCCAACAAUGAGAUAAGCAGCUCAGCUCCUGAUCUACACUGAGUGAACUAUGAAAUUUGAAUAAGAAAUAUGAACCUUUGGGUACCUUCUUGUGUGAAAAUUGUCAUCUUUCUAGUCCAAAGGUACGUCUCUGGGGACUGUAAUCCUAUGUGCAUUAUGAAAUGAUGUGGGAUAAGCCCUGUAGAGGAAGAACAGAAUACCAUCUAACUUGCAGUCAUCAUCUGGGAUAGUAACUGUCUUAAGUGGUAAAAAAUUACUGUCAGUGCUUUCUAGAGCCAUUAGGAACUUGCUGCACCCUGGAGUGCCGUGAGCCAUAAAAGCAGAGUGGAGAUAAACACACCCUGGGGUGUCAUGAGCUGUGAAGCACAGAUGUGUUCACCCAUAUUAUGAUAACCAUUGCUUAGAGAAAUCCUGUUUUGAGUAAAAGAAGAAAAAGAAGGAAAAAUGCCUUUUGCUAUGCAAUAAAGAUGUAGCAGUUUAAUCUCUCA
rnacentral:lncRNA from 1 species